AACGAUUAUUACAGUUUUCAUAGUACAACCCGGAAGACUUUUUAUUUUAUUCAAUCACCUACCUCUCCACCACACUAAUCUUUUUCCCUACCACCACUAAUAUUUUCUUUUCCCUACCACUAAUCUUUUUCCCUACCACCACUAAUAUUUUCUUUUCCCUACCACUAAUAUUUUUCCCUACCACCACUAAUUUGUUUUCAUACCACUACGCUUUAAAAAAAAAAAUAGCUUUUAGUCAUGCCCUUAUAUCCUUACUUCUCUCUGCACAACCAAAGUUGGAAUUCAUAGAAGCCUUUAAGCUCCAAGAGUAGUAUCAAAGUAAGGGAGAGCGUGGGAAACCUAGGGCGUAAAGUUAGAGUGAAGAUUGUGCUUCGAGGGCUUUGUGAUGACCAGGAGGAUUAGCGCUACUUUUCCCAAGACAGGUUUUUAUGUGUAUGAUCUUCAGGCUUUGCCUAACCAGGUUGGCUGGCCGGUGCUGACGGGACGGAGCUGAGGCUAGAGUUAAAAUUCAUAUGUUAGACUUCCGCUGUAGCAAUUACUCUUAUACAUCUUUUGUUUUCUCAACUUAAGAUGACUUCAUGUCGAGCUUAAAUUUGAAAUUCUAGUUUUAUGCUAAUGAAAGUUGGUUGUCAGAAACAUGAAACAAAACUUGUGAUCCAAAGGGGCAUAGCCCGACUUUCUAUCCUAUUUUGGGUUUUAACGAGGUA